rnacentral:rRNA from 1 species
UACCAGCACCCCGAGUGGUCGGGACGUUUAUUGGGCCUAAAGCAUCCGUAGCCGGUUCUACAAGUCUUCCGUUAAAUCCACCUGCUUAGCAGAUGGGCUGCGGAAGAUACUAUAGAGCUAGGAGGCGGGAGAGGCAAGCGGUACUCGAUGGGUAGGGGUAAAAUCCGUUGAUCCAUUGAAGACCACCAGUGGCGAAGGCGGCUUGCCAGAACGCGCUCGACGGUGAGGGAUGAAAGCUGGGGAGCAAACCGGG